UACGUAGGGUGCCAGCGUUGUCCGGAAUUAUUGGGCGUAAAGAGCUCGUAGGCGGUCUGUCGCGUCUGCUGUGAAAACUCAGGGCUUAACCCUGAGCUUGCAGUGGGUACGGGCAGACUAGAGUGCGGUAGGGGAGACUGGAAUUCCUGGUGUAGCGGUGAAAUGCGCAGAUAUCAGGAGGAACACCGGUGGCGAAGGCGGGUCUCUGGGCCGUAACUGACGCUGAGGAGCGAAAGCUAGGGGAGCAAACAGG
rnacentral:rRNA from 1 species